CAUGGAACCAAUUAUUGCGCUUCUGCGCAAUCGGGGGAUUCGUCUAAUCAUUUACUUAGACGACAUCCUACUGCUAUCCCAAUAGGUGCCCCUACUGUAUACUCACCUCAGUUGGACCACAACCUUACUACAGAACCUGGGAUUCAUUAUCAACUGGGAAAAAUCCAUACUAGUUCCCACUCAGCAAAUAGAGUUCCUAGGCCUCCUAGUGGAUUCGCUGAUGCAAAC